CUCCUUGGAGCUGUGUGUUCUGCGGUUGAAGACUUUCCUCCUCAGAGCCAGUGAACCUCCUAAGGAAACUUCCUCCAGGACUGAGAUGCUUUGCAUGAUGGGUCUCUGCAAUCUCCUCCAAAUGCUGCUGUGAACCUGCACCACUUGUGGUCCUUUCCUUGAGGUGUCCUGAACUCCAGCAUCCCAUGGACCGCCCAGGUUGCUUUGGGCAGCAAAGUGCAGCUCCUAAAGCUGUGCCUGCACAGACUCAUGGAGCCAAAGCAAAACUGAGAGAAAGAGAAGGAAAAAAGCCUCCCAGAUGCUGCCUAAAUUCACUGGCUGUCCACGACAUCUACUGAGAUGAUUUAUUCAGGCUGUGCUCACCCAGGGAGGAGCUGCUAGACCCCCAGCUGGAGCUGCUGUGCCCUCUCCAAAAAGUCCUUGCUAUACAAUGACCCAGCUUUUUCUUUUGGAAGUACAAAAUGCAUCUUGUGAUGACUCAGCCAAGGUCAGGCUGCUCGUUUUAAUCCCGCUGUUUCCCUGCUGGUGUGGGAGAAAGGCCCAGAUGUUACCACCAUGUGAUGGAUGGCACCUUCAGCCACCACUGGCAGCCCUGACAUGGGAGAUGGGUCUGCUGGAACCACAGCUGUGGGGGGUUAGCUGAGAAAUCUGUGCGUUUUCCACUCUGCUUAAUUAGUCCCUGCAGUUUGUCAUGCUGGAUAACAACAUGUCCUCUAAUCAGCAUCAAAGCUGGUUUACUAGAAGUGCUCACCCCAGGUAGGCAGCCGGUGGUGGGCACACAAGGGUUGGGUCAAGCACCUCCUCAGACAUGGGCAUUUCUAUUACUGUGCCAGCUACCAGCACUUCUCGCACUGUAGAAGUCAAAAAGCUGUCAGCUGCAAGAUUGUCUUAGUGCUUACUUAGACAGGUCAUAGAAUUUUAACUAUUUCCACCAGUUUUUUAUUUGGAUUCUCAGGUGGAAAGGCUAAUUUUAUAGCCCAGCUUAAAAGAACUUGUUUAGUUUUAUUGUUUUUUCCAGUCACGGAGUAGAUGACACUUAAUAGCUACAUUUACAGAGUGUUCAAAUCACAAACCGUAUACUACUUUUUUUCAAGAAAAGCAAGGUUGUUAUGGCAACAGAGUGGCCUGAUAUUUAAUUCCACUUAAGUACCUGCAGAAGCUAAGAGUGGAGGGGUUCUGCAAGGUCCAUGAGCCCUGUCCCUGCUGCCUCCACUCCCUUCCAUACAUUAACAUAACAUUUAUCAGGUAAACUGAGGUAAUUCAGUGUAUGUAAAGAACACCAGAAAUUUAGAAUUCUAGAAUUUUUUCAGUUGGAGAAGACCUUUAAGAUUAUUGAGACCAAUCGUUAAUGCAGCCCCGGCACUGCCCCAUGUCCUGAGAACCUCGUGUCCGUCUGUCCAGCCCUGCAGGGAUGGUGACUCCAGCACUGCCCUGGGCAGCCUGUUCCAAUGCCCCACAGCCCUUUGGGGAAGAAAUUGUUCCCACAUCCAACCUCAACCUCCCCUGGGCAACUUGAGGCCAUUUCCUCUGCUCCUGGCGCUUGUUCCUGGGGAGCAGAGCCCGACCCCCCCUGGCUCCAAGCUCUUUUCAGGCAGUUCAGAGAUCAGAAGGUCUCCCCUCAGCUCCUGUUCUCCAGCUGAACCCCCCAGGUCCCUCAGCCGCUCCAUCACACUUGUGCUCCAGCCCCUCACCAGCUCCGUUCCCUUCUCUCCACUCGCUCCAGCACCUCAAGGCCUUUCUUGGGGUGAGGGGCCCAAAAGUGCCCCAGGGUUUGAGGUUUGGCCUCCCCAGAGCCCAGUACAGGGGGAACGGUCACUGCCCUGGGCCUGCUGGUCACACUAGUGCUGGUACAAGCCAUGGACUCACAGAAUAGAAUGAUAGCAUCAAAUGUCCUUCAUUAUCCACCAAAGCUUGCUGCUGCUGAAAGUCAUUAUUUGUGGAGUCAUUCGGCUCAGAGUUAUGUGACUGGCAUUAAUAAAAAAAACCAUGACAUUCUUCUGACAA